rnacentral:rRNA from 1 species
AGUAACGCGUGAGGAACCUGCCUUCCAGAGGGGGACAACAGUUGGAAACGACUGCUAAUACCGCAUGAUGCGUUGGAGCCGCAUGACUCCGACGUCAAAGAUUUAUCGCUGGAAGAUGGCCUCGCGUCUGAUUAGCUGGUUGGUGAGGUAACGGCCCACCAAGGCGACGAUCAGUAGCCGGACUGAGAGGUUGGCCGGCCACAUUGGGACUGAGAUACGGCCCAGACUCCUACGGGAGGCAGCAG